rnacentral:snRNA from 1 species
GUUCAGACACAAAGGCCCUACCU